GACGAACGCUGGCGGCGUGCUUAACACAUGCAAGUCGAACGGUGAAGCGCCUUCCUUUUUGGUGGGUGUGGAUGAGUGGCGAACGGGUGAGUAACACGUGAGUAACCUGCCCCCUUCUUCUGGAUAACCGCAUGAAAGUGUGGCUAAUACGGGAUAUUCUGGGUCUGUCGCAUGAUGGGUCUGGGAAAGAUAUUGUUUCGGUGGGGGUGGGCUCGCGGCCUAUCAGCUUGUUGGUGGGGUGAUGGCCUACCAAGGCGGUGACGGGUAGCCGGCCUGAGAGGGUGGACGGUCACACUGGGACUGAGACACGGCCCAGACUCCUACGGGAGGCAGCAGUGGGGAAUAUUGCACAAUGGGCGCAAGCCUGAUGCAGCGACGCCGCGUGAGGGAUGGAGGCCUUCGGGUUGUGAACCUCUUUCGCCAGUGAAGCAGGCCUGCCUCGUUUGUGGGUGGGUUGACGGUAGCUGGAGAAGAAGCGCCGGCUAACUACGUG
rnacentral:rRNA from 1 species